AACGAACGCUGGCGGCAGGCCUAACACAUGCAAGUCGAGCGAGGACUCCGGUUCUAGCGGCGGACGGGUGAGUAACGCGUGGGAAUGUGCCCUUCUCUACGGAAUAGCCCUGGGAAACUGGGAGUAAUACCGUAUACGCCCUAUUGGGGAAAGAUUUAUCGGAGAAGGAUCAGCCCGCGUUGGAUUAGGUAGUUGGUGGGGUAAUGGCCUACCAAGGCGACGAUCCAUAGCUGGUUUGAGAGGAUGAGCAGCCACACUGGGACUGAGACGCGGCCCAGACUCCUACGGGAGGCAGCAGUGGGGGAUCUUGGACAAUGGGGGCAACCCUGAUCUAGCCAUGCCGCGUGAGUGAUGAAGGCCUUAGGGUUGUAAAGCUCUUUCAGCUGGGAAGAUAAUGACGGUACCAGCAGAAGAAGCCCCGGCUAACUCCGUG
rnacentral:rRNA from 1 species